AUUGAACGCUGGCGGCAUGCCUUACACAUGCAAGUCGAACGGCAGCACGGGAGCUUGCUCCUGGUGGCGAGUGGCGAACGGGUGAGUAAUACAUCGGAACGUACCCUGAAGUGGGGGAUAACGUAGCGAAAGUUACGCUAAAUACCGCAUAUUCUGUGAGCAGGAAAGAGGGGGAUCGCAAGACCUCUUGCUUUAGGAGCGGCCGAUGUCGGAUUAGCUAGUUGGUGAGGUGAAAGGCUUCGACCAAGGCGACGAUCCGUAGCGGGUCUGAGAGGAUGAUCCGCACACUGGGACUGAGACAC
rnacentral:rRNA from 1 species